GAGGGUAUAGCCUAGUGGUAGAGUGCAUGCCUAGCAUGUGCAAGGACCUGGGUUCAAUACUCAGUACCUGCA
rnacentral:tRNA from 1 species